CNAGAUAGCGUCAACGCCACAGCUACGAUCGUCCCAAACGGCACGGUUUAGUAUGCUCAUAUCGAAANCAAUAUAAACGAUCCAAAAGAUCCCAAUGUGGAGAAGGGUUNACCNGCCUCAAACACUAAGAAGCAAACAUAAGAAAACUGACACGAACAANAANCACUAUAAAAAAGAAANGACAAACACAAAAGAAAUAAUCACUAUCAUAAACAUAGUAACAAAGCAGGAAGCGUANAGUAGCUACAAACAAAGAAGAAUAACGACAUGANCAAGUUACANUAAAUCGCUCAAGAGUAAAAAAAAUNAUCAANACAGUAANAUAUCACAAAAAACAAAGNAACUAAAACCUNANAAUGAACUACACAAGUGAAAAUAAACCAACUCAAUACUAACGUU
rnacentral:rRNA from 1 species